CAAGUCAUAGAAUAUAGAGCCUAACGGCCAUCACAAAAAUUCCUGUCACUGAAACUGGUACUUCAGCAACUGCCGCUGGCAAAGGAAGAGGGGCCUCGGCCUCUCUUCCAUCUUCCAAAGCACCGGUGUGCGAUUAACCCUAUUGGCCAGGGACCUCUCACCAUGCAGGAAUGGCUUCCACGAAGACCCCUACUGCUCACCGUGACAACUCCCUGGCUUUAUGACUUCAAGGUGCAGGGCCAGAGGCGACAUCACAAUGUGAAUUCGGAAGCAUCCCAUGGUGGAGGAGAAAAAAAGGCUGAAAUGUACAAAGCCAGAAGCUAGCCUGUGUAAUUUUCUUCCACUUACCAGAUGUAUAAAAUUUGGAUUUUGCCAUACAUUGACAUGAAUCAGCCGUGGAUCUGAUGUAUAUUGUUAAGAGAAAAGGUAAGUGCAGGAAAAUGUGAGUACCAUGCUAUUAUUUGUGUUAAAAAUGUAUACCAUAGGUUGUCUCUGGGGGCGACUGAGUGGCUGAG
ensembl:lncRNA